GAUGAACGCUGGCGGCGUGCUUAACACAUGCAAGUCGAACGGACUUUACAUGAAGCCUAGCGAUUGUAAAGUUAGUGGCGGACGGGUGAGUAACGCGUGGGUAACCUGCCUCGUACAGGGGGAUAACACUUAGAAAUAGGUGCUAAUACCGCAUAAGCGCACAGCUUCGCAUGAAGCAGUGUGAAAAACUCCGGUGGUACGAGAUGGACCCGCGUCUGAUUAGCUAGUUGGUGAGGUAACGGCUCACCAAGGCGACGAUCAGUAGCCGGCCUGAGAGGGUGAACGGCCACAUUGGGACUGAGACACGGCCCAAACUCCUACGGGAGGCAGCAGUGGGGAAUAUUGCACAAUGGGGGAAACCCUGAUGCAGCGACGCCGCGUGAGUGAAGAAGUAUUUCGGUAUGUAAAGCUCUAUCAGCAGGAAAGAAAAUGACGGUACCUGACUAAGAAGCCCCGGCUAACUACGUG
rnacentral:rRNA from 1 species